GGUGAGGUGGCCGAGUGGUCUAAGGCGCUGCGUUCAGGUUGCAGUCUCUUCAGAGGCGUGGGUUCGAACCCCACCCUCAUCA
rnacentral:tRNA from 1 species